rnacentral:SRP_RNA from 1 species
GCCAGGCGCGGUGGCACGUGCCUGUAGUCCCAGCUACUUGGGAGGCCGAGGUGGGAGGAUCGCUUGAGCCCAGGAGUUCUGGGCUGUAGCGCACUAUGCCGAUCGGGUGUCCACACUAAGUUUGGCAUCAAUAUGGUGAUCUCCCGAAAGCAGGGGACCACCAGGUUGCCUAAGGAGGGGUGAACUGGCACAGGUCAGAAACGGAGCAGGUCAAAACUCCCCUGCUGGUCUGUAGUGGGAUCAUGCCUAUGAAUAGCCACUGCACUCCAACCUGGGCAACAGAGGGAAACCCCGUCUCU